rnacentral:rRNA from 1 species
UACGAAGGUCCCAAGCGUUGUUCGGAAUCACUGGGCGUAAAGGAAGCGUAGGCGGCGUGGUAAGUCAGAUGUGAAAUCCCGGGGCUCAACCCCGGAACUGCAUCCGAUACUGCCAUGCUUGAGGGUUGGAGAGGUAGCUGGAAUUCUCGGUGUAGCAGUGAAAUGCGUGGAUAUCGAGAGGAACACUCGUGGCGAAGGCGAGCUACUGGACAACAUCUGACGCUGAGGCUCGAAGGCUAGGGGAGCAAAAGGG